AGGCAGUUUCUGGUUCAUAGGAGGUACUUAGGCAAAUCCGGGUGCGUAAUCCAAGGGACUGGGACGAAGAACUUAGGUUCUGUAGCAAUCGGAAGUGGUUCCAAGAAAAGCCUCUAAGCUUCAGUCAUACGAGACCGUACCGCAAACCGACACAGGUGGGCGAGAUGAGUAUUCUAAGGCGCUUGAGAGAACUCGGGAGAAGGAACUCGGCAAAUUGGUACCGUAACUUCGGGAAAAGGUACGCCCUUGUAGUUUGACCACUUUACUGUGGAAGGAUGAACGGGUUGCAAUAAACUGGUGGCUGCGACUGUUUAAUAAAAACACAGCACUCUGCAAACAUGAAAGUGGACGUAUAGGGUGUGACGCCUGCCCGGUGCUGGAAGAUUAAAUGAUGGGGUGCAAGCUCUUGAUUGAAGUCCCAGUAAACGGCGGCCGUAACAAUAACGGUCCUAAGGUAGCGAAAUUCCUUGUCGGGUAAGUUCCGACCUGCACGAAUGGCGUAACGAUGGCCACACUGUCUCCUCCCGAGACUCAGCGAAGUUGAAAUGUUUGUGAUGAUGCAAUCUACCCGCGGCUAGACGGAAAGACCCCAUGAACCUUUACUGUAGCUUUGCAUUGGACUUUGAACCAAUCUGUGUAGGAUAGGUGGGAGGCUUAGAGGCGGUGACGCCAGUCAUCGUGGAGCCAACCUUGAAAUACCACCCUGGUUUGUUUGAGGUUCUAACCUUGGUCCGUUAUCCGGAUCGGGGACAGUGCAUGGUAGGCAGUUUGACUGGGGCGGUCUCCUCCUAAAGUGUAACGGAGGAGUUCGAAGGUACGCUAAUUACGGUCGGACAUCGUGAUGAUUGUGCAAUGGCAUAAGCGUGCUUAACUGCGAGACCGACAAGUCGAGCAGGUACGAAAGUAGGACAUAGUGAUCCGGUGGUUCUGUAUGGAAGGGCCAUCGCUCAACGGAUAAAAGGUACUCUGGGGAUAACAGGCUGAUUCCUCCCAAGAGUUCAUAUCGACGGGGGAGUUUGGCACCUCGAUGUCGGCUCACAUCCUGGGGCUGUAGCCGGUCCCAAGGGUAUGGCUGUUCGCCAUUUAAAGUGGUACGUGAGCUGGGUUUAAAACGUCGUGAGACAGUUUGGUCCCUAUCUGCCGUGGGCGUUGGAAAUUUGAAGGGGGCUGCUCCUAGUACGAGAGGACCGGAGUGGACGAACCUCUGGUGUACCGGUUGUCACGCCAGUGGCAUUGCCGGGUAGCUAAGUUCGGAAGAGAUAACCGCUGAAAGCAUCUAAGCGGGAAACUUGCCUUGAGAUGAGAUUUCCCAGAGCCUUGAGCUCUUUGAAGGGUCGUUCGAGACCAGGACGUUGAUAGGUCAGGUGUGGAAG
rnacentral:rRNA from 1 species